rnacentral:rRNA from 1 species
GACGAACGCUGGCGGCGUGCCUAAUACAUGCAAGUCGAGCGGACUGAAUGGGAGCUUGCUCUUGUUCGGUCAGCGGCGGACGGGUGAGUAACACGUGGGCAACCUGCCCGCGAGACCGGGAUAACUCCGGGAAACCGGAGCUAAUACCGGAUAACACCGAAGACCGCAUGGUCUUUGGUUGAAAGGCGGCGCAAGCUGCCACUUGCGGAUGGGCCCGCGGCGCAUUAGCUAGUUGGUGAGGUAACGGCUCACCAAGGCGACGAUGCGUAGCCGGCCUGAGAGGGUGACCGGCCACACUGGGACUGAGACACGGCCCAGACUCCUACGGGAGGCAGCAGUAGGGAAUCUUCCGCAAUGGGCGAAAGCCUGACGGAGCGACGCCGCGUGAGCGAAGAAGGCCUUCGGGUCGUAAAGCUCUGUUGUGAGGGACGAAGGAGCGCCGUUUGAAGAAGGCGGCGCGGUGACGGUACCUCACGAGGAAGCCCCGGCUAACUACGUG